rnacentral:ncRNA from 2 species
CCCCUAGGGUUUGGGUCUGGUUUCAGCGGGGAUCAGCCGCUGAUGGAAACGGGGAAAGAACGGUGCAAAUCCGUCGCUGUCCCGCAGCUGUAAAGCGUCCGGCCCCGCCGGCGUCAGUCAGAACGCCCGCCAGGAGCACUACCGACGAGGAUCGACUUUGACCAAUCUUCUGGCUUCUCCCCGGCCUCUGCGCCAGGCCGCCGUUGCCGCAUUGGCCUU